rnacentral:lncRNA from 1 species
UUAGGAAAUAUGUAAUUGGCAAAUUUGUGACCAAGGACCACAAUGUAAUAAUUGUAAAGUCAAGGAUUAAAAUGUCACAAUUGUAAGGUCAAGGACCAAAGUGUCAAAUGUCCAAUAGUUCAGGGACUUGAGUUGCAAAUAAUCAAAGUGUUGAAGGCUAGGUCUAGGGUUGUGAUGGAUGCCUCGAAGUUGCAAACGGCGCGAGAUUUCGCUAGAGCCACGCCAUGAUCUCGCUCGAGCCACGAUUGCAGAACCACUGUCGCUAGAGCCUCGCCAGCAUGUCGCUCGAGCUAAGUGGACGUCGCUCGAGUCACGCUGGU